AGCAUGCCUACGGGAGACAGCAGUGGGGAAUAUUGCACAAUGGGGGAAACCCUGAUGCAGCGACGCCGCGUGAGCGAAGAAGUAUUUCGGUAUGUAAAGCUCUAUCAGCAGGGAAGAAAAUGACGGUACCUGACUAAGAAGCCCCGGCUAACUACGUGCC
rnacentral:rRNA from 1 species